rnacentral:rRNA from 1 species
UACGAAGGGGGCUAGCGUUGCUCGGAAUCACUGGGCGUAAAGGGCGCGUAGGCGGAUCUUUAAGUCGGGGGUGAAAGCCCAGGGCUCAACCCUGGAAUUGCCUUCGAUACUGAAGAUCUCGAGACCGGAAGAGGUAAGUGGAACUGCGAGUGUAGAGGUGAAAUUCGUAGAUAUUCGCUAGAACACCAGUGGCGAAGGCGGCUUACUGGUCCGGUUCUGACGCUGAGGCGCGAAAGCGUGGGGAGCAAACAGG